AAUGAACGCUGGCGGCAGGCCUAACACAUGCAAGUCGAACGAAGCUUUCGGGCUUAGUGGCGGACGGGUGAGUAACGCGUGGGAACAUACCCAAAGGUACGGAAUAGCCUCGGGAAACUGGGAGUAAUACCGUAUGUGCCCUUUAGUUGUAGUGACUAGGGGGGAAAGAUUUANCGCCUUUGGAUUGGCCCGCGUUGGAUUAGGUAGUUGGUGGGGUAAUGGCCUACCAAGCCGACGAUCCAUAGCUGGUUUGAGAGGAUGAUCAGCCACACUGGGACUGAGACACGGCCCAGACUCCUACGGGAGGCAGCAGUGGGGAAUCUUAGACAAUGGGCGCAAGCCUGAUCUAGCCAUGCCG
rnacentral:rRNA from 1 species